rnacentral:rRNA from 1 species
UGGGGAAUAUUGGACAAUGGGCGAAAGCCUGAUCCAGCCAUGCCGCGUGUGUGAAGAAGGUCUUCGGAUUGUAAAGCACUUUAAGUUGGGAGGAAGGGCAGUAAGCGAAUACCUUGCUGUUUUGACGUUACCGACAGAAUAAGCACCGGCUAACUCUGUGCCAGCAGCCGCGGUAAUACAGAGGGUGCAAGCGUUAAUCGGAAUUACUGGGCGUACAGCGCGCGUAGGUGGUUCGUUAAGUUGAAUGUGAAAGCCCCGGGCUCAACCUGGGAACUGCAUCCAAAGCUGGCGAGCUAGAGUAGGGCAGAGGGUGGGGGAAUUUCCUGUGUAGCGGUGAAAUGCGUAGAUAUAGGAAGGAACACCAGUGGCGAAGGCGACCACCUGGGCUCAUACUGACACUGAGGUGCGAAAGCGUGGGGAGCAAACAGG